GACGUAGGGCGCAAGCGUUGUCCGGAUUUAUUGGGCGUAAAGAGCUCGUAGGCGGCUUGUUGCGUCGACCGUGAAAACCCGCGGCUUAACCGUGGGCUUGCGGUUGAUACGGGCGGGCUGGAGUUCGGUAGGGGAGACUGGAAUUCCUGGUGUAGCGGUGAAAUGCGCAGAUAUCAGGAGGAACACCUAUUGCGAAGGCAGCUCGCUGGGACGUUACUGACGCUGAGACGCGAAAGCGUGGGGAGCAAACAGG
rnacentral:rRNA from 1 species